CUAACACGCUGGGCACUUCUUCCAACAGCCCUGUUUGCCCAGCAUUAGGGCUGUUUGUUGAAACACCUAGCCCAAUCCGAGGGGGCUCAGCUUUCUAAACAGUUGGUCCCCGAAUCUGUCAAUCAAUAACACCAAUUGGGUUCCUGAUACGAACAGCAAGUGUGGCCAAGUCCAAUAUUUGCCCAAACACUGCCUCCUCCCCCUGCACCUGACUGUCCCCCAGCUUGACUAAAAGGACGAUCACCAGGCGCAUGGGCUGCUGGGAAGAUACAAUGUUGGCAAACAGGGAGCUGGUUCCAGGAAAGAAGGGCACAUGAGCAAACAUGAUGGCCCCUUUAUGAGAGGUAAUUUACUGAAAUGCACAGCGAUUACCUGCUCACCCAGCCCUGAUGUAAUUAAAAAUGGCAGGCUAGGGGCUCUGUUUCCCCCGGCUCUGGCAGAGAAACCUGGGUUUCGACUUGUGAAGCUUGAGGUUGGAUGUGGGAAUUGGCUUGGAGUCAUAGGCGAUGAGAGGGACAUUAGGAUAUUAUGAAGCCCGUGAACUCAACUCCUGAGAAGGACGCAGCAGAGCGAGAGAAAAGAUGGAAUAAAAAGGCCUACCUCAUUGGGCUCGUGUGGGUGAGGAGAACUGAAGAGUCUGAGAGCGCGGCACGAGCCAGAGGCUACGGAAAACACUGCCCUCCUACACUCCACCUUGGAGAGACCCAGAAAAGAACAAGCUUCAUUUGUAAAAAAGGAAAACAACUCAGGCAAUGGGGGUGGCUUAAAGGCACUCUACAGUGUGCAGAUGCCUUCCACUUCUUCCAUCUGCCCUGUCUCUCCAAGAACCCCUAUGGCCCCGGUCUCAGAACAGAGCUGAGUGCAGAAAUGAAAAUCUAUGGCUCUGUGUUCCAAAACGAUGAAGAAUUUCAAGAUGGUGGCAGUGGUAAAAUCUUUCUCCAGGAAAAAUCUGUCCUUGGCCCAAUGUGUAAACACUUGCUGAGGAACUUGGAAUAACUUGCAGUGUCUUGCAGUAUUGUGAAACCAGCAACUUGUUCACAAUUCUUCUGAAUUUCUUGGGAAAUUUGAAGUGGAGUACCUGUACCAACAUGAAAUGACACGAAUUUAAGUGACGCUCAACAACGAAAAGCAAAAAGAACCAAAGAGGAAGCAACUGAAACAACAUCUGGAUGUAUUUAAAAAUAUACAAUGCCUCCAAAAUCAGGUGUCAUUAAUGAAAAUUCUGAAGAAAUGCCACCGGACAUAGCCAACGCACCUACGCUGUUGUUAUUCAUUUCCUGCUUUUCACAGAAAACAAUUUUGUUGCAUGGAAGAUCGUGAACUUCAAAGGGCAGAGGGGAAACUGUCCCUUGGCCUCUACCCCUCCAAGGCCCCACUUUUUUGUCAACACUCCUUGGACGCAGCAGAAGUAUGAACAUAAUAUGGUCCUGAAUGAGGCUGAGUCUUUGGGCGCAGAAGACCCGGGUUAAUAAAAAUAGGAAGGUAAGAAAAGAAAAGAAAAAUCAAGACACAUCAUAGGACUAAAUUCCUAUUAUUUAUCCACUCAGGAUUGACCACCCCUUUGGGCCAGAUAGUUGUACCCCCAUGUACCAGGUGGGCACAUGAAGACACAAGAAGUGCUGUGAUGGUUCAUUUUGCACGUCACCUUGCGUGGAGUAUGCCAACUCAUUGUUUGGUCAAACACUAGUCUGGACAUGGUGGUAAAGGUAUUUUUUAGAUGAGAUUAACACUUAAAUCAGUAAAGCAGGUUACCCACCAUACUACGGGUGGGCCCUGUCCAAUCAGUUGAAGGCAUUAAGAACAAAGAUUGAGGUUUCCUAAAGAAGAUGGAAUUCUCCUUGAGACUACAACAUAGAAACCCUAUCUGAGUUUCCAGCCUGUUGCCCUGUGGAAUUCAAACUCAGGACUCCGGUCUAUGACAUUAACCCUCACUUAACUUUUCAGCCUGCCAGCCUGCCCUAUGGAUUUCGGACUUGCCAGCCACACAAUUCCUUAAAAUAAAUCUCUCCGUCUCUGUCUGUUUCUCUCUGUCUAUAUACACACCUGCAUGCAUAUAUACAUAUAUAUAUGUAUGCAUCUAUA
rnacentral:lncRNA from 1 species